rnacentral:rRNA from 1 species
UACAGGGGGGGCAAGCGUUGUUCGGAAUUACUGGGCGUAAAGGGCUCGUAGGCGGCCAACUAAGUCGGACGUGAAAUCCCUCAGCUUAACUGGGGAACUGCGUCCGAUACUGGAUGGCUUGAGUUUGGGAGAGGGAUGCGGAAUUCCAGGUGUAGCGGUGAAAUGCGUAGAUAUCUGGAGGAACACCGGUGGCGAAGGCGGCAUCCUGGACCAACACUGACACUGAGGGGCGAAAGCGUGGGGAGCAAACAGG